GAUGAAGAACGCAGCGCAAUGCGAUAAGUAAUGUGAAUUGCAGAAUUCAGUGAAUCAUCGAAUCUUUGAACGCACAUUGCGCCCAUUAGUAUUCUAGUGGGCAUGCCUGUUCGAGCGUCAUUAAGUCCACUUAAGCCCUGCUUAGUGUUGGGAGACUGCUCCAGCGGUGCUACCCUGUAGCUACCCUGCAGCUCCUCAAAGACAGCGGCGGAGUUGUGGUAUCCUCUGAGCUUAGUAACUUGUUCUAGCUUUCGAGUACACCACUUCCCCUGCCGUAAAACCCUUAAUUUUUAAUGGUUGACCUCGGAUCAGGUAGGAAUACCCGCUGAACUUAAGCAUAUCAAUAAGCGGAGGA
rnacentral:misc_RNA from 1 species